rfam:Pseudonocardia sp. HH130629-09, complete genome.
CUUGACCGACCCGAGCAGCAGCGGGCGCUGCGGGUCGCGGUCGAGGCCGUAGGUGGCCAUCAGGGCCUGGGCCUC